UCUGACUGCAACAGGGUCGUAUUUUAAAAAUUGAGUUGAUAAUAGGUCCUCGAAGACUUCGGACUAAAAUGAUUUCACAUCAUAAAUUAGAACUGAAGAUUCAACUAACAUAUCUUGAGAUGUAUUCACAUACCUGUAAGUAUACUUUAGAAGCUGUGUGAAUGUUCCAUUGUUCAACCUUACAACCAUAUUCGGAAGAUCCCUCCAAUCUGCUCCAGGAUAUGUUGGAAUCUGAGUUAUCCGUGCCUCCACCAAAGGGGCCAUUUCUUUACAUAUAUGAUCCCGAACAACUUCACUGGACUCACGACCACGCAUCAGCCUUUGGAAGAAGGUCAGAUAAUGAAUCACGUACAGUAACUGUUCGAUAUGGAGCAGAAUCUAGCCAUUUAAUACCUUAAAAUAUUUUUACGUAAUACAUUUGUGAUUCUUAGUGUUUACUAAGAAAA